UACGUAGGGCGCAAGCGUUAUCCGGAAUUAUUGGGCGUAAAGCGUGCGCAGGCGGUUAUGUAAGACAGGUGUGAAAUCCCAGGGCUUAACCUUGGAACUGCAUUUGUGACUGCAUAGCUAGAGUACGGUAGAGGGGGAUGGAAUUCCGCGUGUAGCAGUGAAAUGCGUAGAUAUGCGGAGGAACACCGAUGGCGAAGGCAAUCCCCUGGACCUGUACUGACGCCCAUGCACGAAAGCGUGGGGAGCAAACAGG
rnacentral:rRNA from 1 species